rnacentral:rRNA from 1 species
UACAGAGGUGGCAAGCGUUGUUCGGAAUUACUGGGCGUAAAGGGCGCGUAGGCGGCCUACUAAGUCAGACGUGAAAUCCCCCGGCUUAACCUGGGAACUGCGUCUGAUACUGGAAGCUUGAGGCCGGGAGAGGUGAGUGGAAUUCCCGAGUGUAGCGGUGAAAUGCGUAGAUAUUGGGAGGAACACCAGUGGCGAAGGCGGCUCACUGGACCGGUUCUGACGCUGAGGCGCGAAAGCGUGGGGAGCAAACGGG